GACGAACGCUGGCGGCGUGCUUAACACAUGCAAGUCGAACGAAGAGCGACGGAAGCUUGCUUCUAUCAAUCUUAGUGGCGAACGGGUGAGUAACGCGUAAUCAACCUGCCCUUCAGAGGGGGACAACAGUUGGAAACGACUGCUAAUACCGCAUACGAUCUAAUCUCGGCAUCGAGGAUGGAUGAAAGGUGGCCUCUACAUGUAAGCUAUCACUGAAGGAGGGGAGUGCGUCUGAUUAGCUAGUUGGAGGGGUAACGGCCCACCAAGGCGAUGAUCAGUAGCCGGUCUGAGAGGAUGAACGGCCACAUUGGGACUGAGACACGGCCCAGACUCCUACGGGAGGCAGCAGUGGGGAAUCUUCCGCAAUGGACGAAAGUCUGACGGAGCAACGCCGCGUGAGUGAUGACGGCCUUCGGGUUGUAAAGCUCUGUUAAUCGGGACGAAAGGCCUUCUUGCGAAUAGUGGGAAGGAUUGACGGUACCGGAAUAGAAAGCCACGGCUAACUACGUG
rnacentral:rRNA from 1 species